GCAUGGCCGUUCUUAGGUUCGGUGGAGUGAUCUGUCUGCUUAAUUGCGUUUCAAUUUUUAUUAUGUAUACGUAUGACCCACGUUUACGCGUGCGAGUCUAGUAUGCUAUCAUUUGAAAGCAACGAACGUGACCGUAUCCUUUUAUUAUAUACGCACGCGUAUAUUUAUUCAUUAAAGGGACCGCUGUUUCUUUUUUUAAACCAGAGGAAGGUUACGGCAAUAACAGGUCUGUGAUGCCCUUCGAUGUUCCGGGCUGCACACGUGCUACAAUGAUUAUUUCAUUAAGUAUCUACUAUACUGCACAUUAUGUGUAUUAAAACCUACCCUGAGAAUGGGCGGGUAAUCAAUUAGAAGUAAUGAUUUCCUUUUUUUUAUACGCAACUAUGUACCGUAUAUUACAUCCCAUAAUAUUUUUUUAUUAUGCGUGUGUGUUUUAUUACCGUGUACGCGUAAUUGUUAAUUCAUGGUGGGGAUAGACCAUUGUUAAUUGUUGGUCUCGGUCUUAACUAGGAAUGCCUUGUACGGGUCAUUGGUUCAACAAACCACCCGGAAUACGUCCCUGCCCUUUGUACACACCGCCCGUCGCUCUUACCGAUGAACUUCGCUAUGAAUCUCUUGGACUGUAUCCUUUAAUGAAUACGGAAAGAUAUAUGAAUAGUGUG
rnacentral:rRNA from 1 species